AGUGAACGCUGGCGGUAGGCCUAACACAUGCAAGUCGAACGGCAGCACAGUAAGAGCUUGCUCUUACGGGUGGCGAGUGGCGGACGGGUGAGGAAUACAUCGGAAUCUACUUUUUCGUGGGGGAUAACGUAGGGAAACUUACGCUAAUACCGCAUACGACCUACGGGUGAAAGCAGGGGAUCUUCGGACCUUGCGCGAUUGAAUGGGCCGAUGUCGGAUUAGCUAGUUGGCGGGGUAAAGGCCCACCAAGGCGACGAUCCGUAGCUGGUCUGAGAGGAUGAUCAGCCACACUGGAACUGAGACACGGUCCAGACUCCUACGGGAGGCAGCAGUGGGGAAUAUUGGACAAUGGGCGCAAGCCUGAUCCAGCCAUACCGCGUGGGUGAAGAAGGCCUUCGGGUUGUAAAGCCCUUUUGUUGGGAAAGAAAGGCAGCAGGUUAAUACCCCGCUGUUCUGACGGUACCCAAAGAAUAAGCACCGGCUAACUUCGUG
rnacentral:rRNA from 1 species